CACAAUAAAAUAUAGCUGUACGCGCUGUGCUCCCGGCCAGUUUGCGAGGCUGAAUUAUUUAUUACCCUUGUCUUUUGCGCACUUGUUGUUUCCUGGGCGGGUUCGCCUCGCCACCAGGACCACAAUCAUAAACCUUUUUUAUGCAGUUGCAAUCAGCGUCAGUAUAACAAAUGUAAAUCAUUUA
rnacentral:misc_RNA from 1 species